CUUCAGAAGACAGCCAUCUGAAAGCUAAAGCGGGCUCUUGGCUGUCUGUGCUAUGCUCAGAAUAGCCUCCAAGGCUCAAGAGCCAUUCCGGAUCCCUAAGGGGAGUGCUUCAGUGCGAGGAGGCUGUCAAGCCCAUUCAUGAACGAGAGGGUUCCAACCAGGAGGAACCUCACCAGCCCACGAAGGAACAGUGAAAACCAAGGUUUUCUUCCGCCCACCGAUGCAAAGGGAAGUAAAUCUUCAAUGAGAAAAUCUGCAGUUCACCUCGCCCCCUGCCUUCUGCGUCAGGAGCCUUUGCUGGUCUCCUGCGUUAUGACUUGUGCAGUAACCUCAUAAAGAAAAUUAAGAUAUUUGAAAGAAGACGAGGAGCAGGAGGGAAGGGGAAAAAAGAGGAGCCUGCAUGGGGGUAGUGCCCUGUGAAGCCAAGUUCUCAACUUCCUGAAACAGCAUCCCAGGGCUACAUCUUUUGAUGUUGGAGACUGCUAGACAACAAAGGAAGGAUUCCUUGGACACGGUCAUGGCAUUCCUCCUUAGAGCACCGAGGCGAAGAGCAGAACGGGAGGACAGGGAAGUGUGGGACAGGCUCAGCUCAUCUGAAUUUAUGUGGGCUAUGGGGUCAUCCUCAGUGUGGGAGAAUGUAUUCACCAUGGCAUGCCUCCCUUUGCUGGGAUGGAUGCUAUCUUCUUAAUCUGUGUUCCUGGAGUCAUAUUAAGGUCAACUCUUAUAUCAUCUGUCCUUUGCUCUUUGUGGUCUACAAGCUCAAGGCAACUUGAACUCUUCCUCUUCCCAGCUUGCUCUCAAAAUGAUCUCUUAUAACUUCUCAAAUCAAGGUACCAGGAGAUGAUAAAAGUUUGGGGUGUGAUUGGUUGAGGUAGACAGUACAACAGGUAUGUUUUGGGGGGUUGGUUUACUUGUGUGUAUGUGUGAGAGAGAGAGAGUGUGUGGGGGGGGAGAGAGCUCACAUGCUCACAUGUAAUAGCAUGCAUGGAGUUCAGAGGAUAAAUUUAAGGAACCGCUUCUCUCCUACCUUUACACAGGAUGCAUGGAUCAAAUUUAGGUCUCUGACUUGUAAGACUACUAAGCCACCUCUACAGCCCUAAAUAACAGUUUUUAAUCAGAACAAAAACACUGAUUAUCACUGGGCUGUGGUGGCACACACCAUUAAUUCCAGCAAUUUGGGAGGCAGAAGAAGGUGGAUCUCUGAGCUCAAGG